GAGGCACAUUUUAUAUUCGAAAUGUAUAAAGGACACUAUACGUAUGCGAGUGUAUUAUUCCGCGCAACUCAGUGGCAGCCGCGGCAGUCAGUCAGUUACCCUCAGUGUUAAACUGGCAGACGAGUGAGGUGUGCGCAAAUUUAAAUACCGGGACUUUAUCGUGCACUUCUAUAAACAAGACGACUUUGCUGUACACUUCUUAAAAUUGCUUGGGAUUUUAUCGAAAUCAGUCGAGUGCCGAACAAUGGGUGGCGCCAGUACCCACUGAAGAUGAGGAAGAGAAGGUCGACCAACCACUCCUUGGACCUUCCACUUCCUUUUUAAGAUGAAUGUUGACAAACGGAGUUCUCAGACAAUAUUUGUAAGGCUUGCGUCACGCCAUCACAUGAGCCGAGCUCCGGGAACACCUUGCUGAGAAUGAAAGUACACCACCAGUAACAUUCAUUAACUAUCAGAAUGAGGGAGUAUAGACGUUGGAUAUUCAUUCCUUCGACUUCUCUUGAUAUCAUCCUUCGCUUCUUAGGAUGAUUCCUAACCUCAGCCACUGCCUCACGACUUGAGGCAUGACGUCGCUGUGGGCGCGACGUUAUGCGCGACGUCAGUUGGUAGGGUUCAGGUCAGUCACCUCUGUAUGGUUCCUGCUGUUGUGCCUCACGUUCAGACGGCCAUGCCUCUUUACAGCACACCCGCGGCGACCCUUCCCCGCGAUUAUCUCAUUGGUUGCUGCGUGGCGAUUCAUUGACGUCAGUAAGGCCUUCUCUCAUCUACAAGAAAACAGGAAGCACAGGAUUUUUAAACAAAGCAAUGAUUUAUGAAUUCACUAAUAUUGCGAUAGAAGAAUAUCUAGACAAAGAGUGUGGGAGGAGGCAGUCGGCUUACGUGUCCAGCACAGAUAAUUGAUUCAGGAAUUAAUAUUGACGUGCUUUGUUUUAUAUAUGUAUUAGUUUUUGUUUGUUUAUUUUCUAUUCAUUUAUUAUUAAUUUAUUUUUAAAAAUAGCAAUGUGUUUCAGCUCAUGUGAUCUCGAAAGACCGUUCCUGACCCAGUAGGGAUAUGAAUGCACUAGAGAGCAUAGUUUAUUUUGACUUGGGCAAUAAGGGAUGAGGAACAAAAGAUAAAAAUGGUAACUUAAAUGUGUGUCUACA